rnacentral:rRNA from 1 species
UAGUCUGGGAUACCACUUGGAAACAGGUGCUAAUACCGGAUAAGAAAGCAGAUCGCAUGAUCAGCUUUUAAAAGGCGGCGUAAGCUGUCGCUAUGGGAUGGCCCCGCGGUGCAUUAGCUAGUUGGUAAGGUAAAGGCUUACCAAGGCGAUGAUGCAUAGCCGAGUUGAGAGACUGAUCGGCCACAUUGGGACUGAGACACGGCCCAAACUCCUACGGGAGGCAGCAGAG